rnacentral:tRNA from 1 species
UAGCUCAGUCGGUAGAGCAUGAGACUUAAUCUCAGGGUCGUGGGUUCUUGCCCCAC